UACAGAGACUGCAAGCGUUAUUCGGAUUCACUGGGCGUAAAGGGUGCGCAGGCGGUGGUGUGUGUCAGGUGUGAAAUCUCGGAGCUUAACUCCGAAACUGCGCCUGAAACUACAUCACUAGAGCAUUGGAGAGGGUAGCGGAAUUCACGGUGUAGCAGUGAAAUGCGUAGAUAUCGUGAGGAACACCAGAGGCGAAGGCGGCUACCUGGACAAUUGCUGACGCUCAGGCACGAAAGCGUGGGGAGCAAACAGG
rnacentral:misc_RNA from 1 species